AGGGUGCAGGGCCGGGCAGGGACUAUUGGGGUGGCCUGCGUUGGGCUCGGCUGGCAUAGCCUUUGUGGCUUGCUUGGACCCAGAUUUGGCUGCCCAGGGACGGGAGACCCUGGUGAGGUGUCUGUGGCCCAAGCCCACCCUGAAGGAGCCAUGGGGCCAUCUGCCGAUCACGCCAGACAGCAAGGCCUUCUCGGGUCUCCCGCUUCCCUCUAGGCCGGCCUGACCCAGCUCACCUCAUUCUCAACCUCACCAACCAACAUCAGUCACAGAGUCGGAAAGGAGGGAUUUUCAUUUUCCUUUAAAGGGAAAAGGUGAAAACUGCAUUUAAUAAGCCGGGCCAGUGGGGGCUCUGUGAGCCCCUCUGCACAGUAAGCCUCAGAGACGCUGCAUGGUGGUCCCGGGGCAUCCUGGCCAAGGUGGGAGAAAGCUGCCGGGCCCGUUGGGAUCCCCAGCCUCUGUGAGGACCCGCGGGAUGCCCUCAGGGGCUGCCCCCUGGAUCUUGUCUCCUCUGAGGUGCAGUGGAGGCGGCAGACGACGCUGGCCCACAUCCUUGUCAGGUGGAGGACCUGCCAACUGGCCGCUGGCCGUGGCUCUUGCUGGGAGCCGCGUGGCCUGGACUUGGACCCACGUCCACCUCUCUCAGGCUGCCUGCUCUUGCCAGUGGCUGAGCCUGGCUUUUCCCAUGACAGUGGCUGCAGACAGAGGGGACCCGUGCCACCAGGAAAGGUGUCUGGGGGUGAGGCGAGAGUUCUGCCAAAGCCAGAGCCAGGGUUGGACCCCCCGAGCUCCUUCGUCGGCCCCUGGAGGGAGAGUGGUGUGUUUGGACCACGGCCCCAGUGGUCCAGCUCUGCCCAUCUUCAUCCCGGGUGGCAGCUGCUGUCCAGCCCUCUGGCUGGUGCCUUUUAGCUGGUGUCUCCAUGUGCAGAAGCGAACAGAAGUGCUGACUAAUAUUUGAUGAAGGCCUGCUAUGCCGGCAGCACCUGAUGCGGCAGGUGGAGUCCGGGGGGCAGCGGCUGAGGCUCCCUGUUCCUCAAUGUCCCUGCCUGUGGGAUGGGCAUAGCUAACUCCUGGGGCCACCUUGAAGGCGGAGCCACGUGUACAGGAUGGAACAUGAAGGUGGACCAGGAGCGUGACCACUAAAGCACAGCAUCACAGGGAGACGGUUAGGCCUCCGGAUAACUGUGGGCGGGUCUGACCAAUGUCAGGCCUCCCACGAGAGGUGGAGGGGUAGGGUCUUCUCUGAACUCCUCCAAGGAAAGGAAAGGGAGAUUCCCUUUCCCAGUCUGCUAAGGAACAGGUGUUUUUCCUUGACACUGACGCUAUUGCUAGACCAUGGUCUGCUUGGCAACGGGCAUCUUCCCAGACGCUGGCGUCACUUCUAGACCAAGGAGCCCUCUGGUGGCCCUGCCCGGGCAUAACAGAAGGCACUUCUCACUAUGUCCCCUCAGCUCCUGUCUCUAUAUGACCUGGCUUUUCCUAGGCUGUGAUUGUAGAGCGAGGAUUAUUAUAAUAUUGGAAUAAAGAGUAAUUGCUACAAACUAA